rnacentral:rRNA from 1 species
AGAAUGUAGUGUAUGCGCCUGCGCAUCGAACGGCCAGUGUAGGAUUGGRUAGUCUACUGGAAGACAGUGGGCCCUGCCGCAAGGUGGGGAUAUGUGUACCGGGCGGAGGCCGGAACAUGCUAUCCGUCUAUUGGGCUGUCUAGCCGGUGCACUUUCUCUGUGGUGAACACCACGACCGGUGGAACUGCCAGUCUGUCAUAGUCAAGUCGUAGUGGGCGGGCUUUCGGGUCUGCCUGCUGUGAUCACGGGCGUACUUGGUAUACGGCGUUAGUGCAUCUUUACGGUGUGCCGACGUGUUAUCGGCUACUAGUCGCUUUAUCGGGCCUGCCUAAUGCAUGUUAUAGCCGUGUGUUUGGUGGUCUGGUGGACUUUGAUGGUAAUAAUAACUGUGCAGGGCACCGGAGUUUUCGGCCUCAAAUGCAGUCUGCAUGCGUGCUAUGAGUGUAAUGUGUUUGUGGGUGUCGUCGCGAGCUGGCUGUUGUUGGAUUUGAUUGUCGUGUUGCCUACGAAAAGUGGGCCCGGCAGUGGUUCGAUGCAGAUUGGUCUCGUUGGCGGUGCCUGCGAUGUAGACUGUGGUGGGCCAGAUAGUCUGUGGUGUAGUGGUAGACGAGCUACCCGACCCGUCUUGAAACACGGACCAA